rnacentral:rRNA from 1 species
UACGGGGGGAGCAAGCGUUGUUCGGAUUUACUGGGCGUAAAGGGCGCGUAGGCGGCCACUGCAAGUCGGUUGUGAAAUCUCCGGGCUUAACCCGGAAAGGUCAAUCGAUACUGCAGGGCUAGAGUGCGGAAGGGGCAACUGGAAUUCUCGGUGUAGCGGUGAAAUGCGUAGAUAUCGAGAGGAACACCUGCGGCGAAGGCGGGUUGCUGGGCCGACACUGACGCUGAACUGCGAAAGCUAGGGGAGCGAACGGG